GGUACCAAGAAAAGCGAGUAUAGGGGCCCGUACUGUAAACGGACACACGUAGUUGGGUUGAGUAUACUAAGGCGCUCGAGUGAUUCAUGGUUAAGGAACUCGGCAAAUUGGCCCCGUAACUUCGGGAUAAGGGGCGCCUACUUCGGUAGGCCGCAGAGAAAUGGCGCAUGCGACUGUUUAUCAAAAACACAUGGCUUUGCAAAUUCGAAAGAAGACGUAUAAGGCCUGACACCUGCCCGGUGCUGGAAGGUUAAGAGGAGAGCUUAGCGUAAGCGAAGGUUUGAAUUGAAGCCCCAGUAAACGGCGGCCGUAACUAUAACGGUCCUAAGGUAGCGAAAUUCCUUGUCGGGUAAGUUCCGACCUGCACGAAUGGUGUAACGAUGUGCGCACUGUCUCAACCAUGAGCUCGGUGAAAUUGUAGUAUCGGUGAAGAUGCCGAUUACCCGCAACGGGACGGAAAGACCCCGUGAACCUUUACUGCAACUUAACAUUGGUUGUGGGUAAGUAAUGUGUAGGAUAGGUCAGAGAC
rnacentral:rRNA from 1 species